rnacentral:lncRNA from 1 species
UUGCUGCUGAUCUUUGCUGAGUUGUGGUUUGCUCCGGUUUAUAAAUCGCUACAGGAAACACAGGAUGAAUCAACUCAGAAGACAAAGGUACUGAGUUGCAGAAGAGAAGAAGCAGAUUUCAGGUAAUCUUUUCUGAAUACUUUCAUCCAUAAAUUGCUUUUCAAGUUAAAAAGAAGCCUGAUUAGUCUGUAAAAUAGUUGCAAACCUGAAGGGUGAAUAGAUCUGCAGACUGGCCAACCAGCUUGUCAUAUUUGAGGCCCUCUGCAGCAAGUCCAGCCAUUGCUACAACUGCCAGUCUGAGAAAAGCUAUCAGGUAAGUUUAUAUUUUCUGCAGUGAAAUUCUGACUUUUUUUAUGCUAUUGAUUCAAAAUUUCUUCAAGGACCAAUAAUGCACCUAUUUACAGUGUUCAAGAAAGGUUUUAAAACCAGUACCUAUCAAGUUCCUUAGCAUCAAGUUGCCCACUAUAUAUUAGUUUCUGCAGUCUUUCAUCAAUGAGAUUGACAUGCUCUUUCCCAAUAUCUAAUGAAUACCCCAGAAUUGGAAGGCCAAGUAAAUAGGCAACUGCAGUUCAAAUAGGAAAUCCAAUAUCUUAUUAGAAAAAGAAAACCAUUUGGAAGAAUGUCGAAUAUUGGAUUGAGGAGAAACUACUUAAAAAAUGAGCUGCUUCAUGUGUAGCAAUCCUCUCUUGAUAAUCAGGAAAGAAUGAGGAGAAUCCUGCAAUAGCAGCUUGAAGAAGCCUAGAAAACAACAAUUUUCCUAUUUUAAAAGCUUGUCUACUACAGAAAAAGAGUUUUAAUAUCUUCAACACAUGAACUUACCCAGGUGAAAUGCUCCCCACAGCAAGAACAAUUAACGAAAUGCUUCCAAUCAAGUAAGGCAGAAAGAAGCCCCAAUCCUAUACACAUAAAAUAAUGAUCCCUGAAAUUCACAUGUACGAAGAAAAAGGAGGAGAAAAGAGUAGGGUACCCCCGGAAGCUGGCCGGCCAGAAUAGCCAAUAACGAAGUUGUUCCCACCACUGUGAAAAGAAAUGCCGCCUGUAUUACUGGAACAUAUCAAGUUAAUAUAUGUGUAGUUGUUGAAUGGAUGGAGAUUCGACUUUCAAUUUAAAUAUACUAAAGCAUAGUAACAGGAGCGAUAUACGCACAUCAUUUCUGACACUUGGAAUGGCCAGGUUUUCUGCAUUCUUGAUCCCAAGAGUUGUGAGCUCCCGUAGAGAAGUCUGAUACAUGGAGAUUGUUGGAAGAUCAAUCAAAUUUACUUACUCCAUAAUUGAAUGUCAACUAAAAAAGAAAAGCAAUGAAGAGAUGUAGACCAUCACUUUCCCACAAGUUCAGACUGACCGUACGAC